AUGCUCGCUUUGACAGCUCAUACACUAAAAAUGGAACCAUAUAGGGAAGACUAUCAUGGUUUCUGCACGAUGACAGGCAAAUUUGUGAAGCAUUCCAUAUUUUA
ensembl:snRNA U6 U6 spliceosomal RNA